GCCCAACUGUUUAGUUUGGAUACAGAAGAUGAGGACUUGAACGGAUUUGCGUAUGACUAUCGAUCAACAAUGAUGUGAGUACAGUAGAGCAGUGGUCCCAAA